GUCAGGACAGAGAAGAUCUUUGACUGGUCUGGGGGGGGGGGGGGGGGGGNNNNNNNNNNGUGGGCGUGGCUUCCAGCGGAGAGGGCGAUCUUGUGAUGAUGUCUCCACGUCCUGUUCUGACUCCUCCCUCCAAACCCGCAGGUGCACCCUGGGAAGUUGUGAAAGCCGAGACAGCUGUCUUUCUAGGCCCUGCUUCCCUGGGGUCUCCUGCCACUCUGAGACUGAUGGCUCAUGGGAAUGUGGGCCCUGUCCACUGGGUUACCAUGGAAAUGGCUCUGUCUGUGAAGACCAGGAUGAAGUAAAUACACACACACGCACGCACACACACACACACAAACACACACACACACACACACACACACAACCUCUAUCUCUGUGUGAGUAGUGUGUCUAGUGUGUGUUGCAGGGUCUGUGUGACCUUUCUCCUGUCCUACAGUGUGUGUUGCCAGGUGUGUGCUCUCCCCUGUAGUGUGUGUUGCAGGAUGUGUGUAACCUCUCUCCUGUAGUGUGUGUUGCAGGGUGUGUGUAACCUCUCUCCUGCAGUGUGUGUUGCAGGGUGUGUGUGUAACCUCUCUCCUACAAUGUGUGUUGCAGGAUGUGUGUAACCUCUCUCCUGUAGUGUGUGUUGCAGGGUGUGUGUAACCUCUCUCCUGCAGUGUGUGUUGGAGAGUGUGUGUGUAACCUCUCUCCUAAAAUGUGUGUUGCAGGGUGUGUGUAACCUCUCUCCUGCAGUGUGUGUUGCAGGGUUUGUGUGUAACCUCUCUCNNNNNNNNNNACUGCGCCACCCGGGAGGCCCUGGAUACAUAACUUAGAAGCAUGUCUGUAUUGGGGUGCACAGUCGUGGUUUGAUUUUAAACCAAUAGUGGAAUAUUACAAUUAUUUCUAAAACUCACAGGCAGCCAGUGCAGAGACCUUAAAACCGGUGUAAUGUGUGCUCUCCGUCUGUUCUUGGUCAGUACCCGUGCUGCAGCAUUCUGUAUGUUUUGCAGUUGACCAAUGGCUUCCUGGGCAGACAAGACAGGAGGGCAUUACAGUAGUCAAGCCUGCUGUAAUAAAAGCAUGGAUGAGUGUCCUUGUAUCAGUCUGAGAGAGAAAUGGCCGCACCUUGGCAAUGUGGUAAAAAAGCUAUGUUGGUCACAUUCCUAAUGUGUGAUUGGAAAUGUAGUUCAAACCUAGGUUUUUACCUGGUGUUUUAUCUUUAUUAUCCGUGAAUUUAAAUGUGUGUCCAGAUUCUCUCUCUGUGCUUUGGCUCCAACAAUAAGUACCUUGGUCUUGAUUUAGCUGGAGGAUAAAUGUGAGCCAUCCAAGUAGUUAAAUCACUAAUCCAGUGUAAUAAUUUAUUCAUAGAGCUAAAACAAACAAUACAGAUCCAUCUCAAUGGUGGCAUUGGCAGGGGCUCUUGUUCAGUGCCACUUUAUGCAUGUUCUUCCUGGUACAAUAGUGCCCCCAAGAUCAUUAAAAACAAACUGCAGACAUCUCAGAACUAAUUAGUUAGUAUUGUUCUUAGACUUCCAGUACAUACCCAUCUUGACCAUUUGCACUUUGA
rnacentral:lncRNA from 13 species